CGACGAGUAGGUCAGUGGCCAGACCGCCUCUCUUACAAGGAGGAUGCCGGAGGUUCGACUCCUCCCUCGUCGA
rnacentral:tRNA from 1 species